AACGAACGCUGGCGGCAUGCCUAACACAUGCAAGUCGAACGAUACCGUCGGGUCUAGUUGCGCACGGGGGCGUAACGCGGGGGAACCUGCCAUUACGUUCGGAAUAACUCCCCGACAGGGGUGCUAAUACCGGAUAAUGUCUUCGGACCAAAGAUUUGUGGCCUUGGGAUGGGCCGGCGUUGGAUUAGCUAGUUGGUAGGGUAAAAGCGUACUAAGGCGACGAUCCAUAGCUGGUCUGGGAGGAUGAUCAGCCACACUGGGACUGAGGCACGGCCCAGACUCCUUAGGGAGGAAGGAGUGGGAGAUAGUGGACAAGGGGCGGAAGCCGGGACGAGCAAUGCCGCGUGAGAGAUGAAGGCCGUAAGGUAGUAAAGCUCUUUUACCCGGGAUGAUAAUGGACGGAACCGGAGAAAGAACUCCGGCUAAAUCAGGGG
rnacentral:rRNA from 1 species